ACAAGAUCCACAGCAGUCCUUGCAAUUAUCCUCCUAAAAAUAAACACGAUGAACCAGAUAUACACAAUGUUCUCAAAUCGCAAACAUGUUUCAGAAUUGUACUGAGCAGAAAAAUAUUCUUUGCAUCUUUCUGAUGUUUCUACCUGGGAAUCCAAAUCAUCAAGAGAGUUUUCACUUUCCGGAAACUCCCAUGUGUCAUCACAACACACGUCUUCUUCUUUGCAACUUAUCGAUCCAAACUUUUGAAUCUUGUUGCUCAUAUCGCUGUAGUCAAAUGAGAUGGCUUGUUUUGAAUGAUUCUGUGUUUCUUGUGCUACCCUGUGUUGGUAUAGAUAUUUAGAUAAUGCAAAAUUUUAAAUAUUUCCUUAGAUUUUUGAAUAUGUAAACAUAAUCUGUACCGUGACUCAAUGCCUGAAAAACUGUGCAAUAUUUGUGAACCACCAGGAUUUUAUAUUUUUCCAAUUAAUGUAAUAUUCAAUAAAUAUAUUCUACAAGACUACAUUAUGAUCUAGAAAUGUAUUGGUGAAUAUUUUAUUGCCAUACUAUUAUUAUUAUUCUUUUAAAAUUUUAGUAACAAAACAGCCAUAAAACUAAUAUAGUCUGAACAACACUGUGUCAAAAAAUUUAAACAGUUGCACAUAUGUGUACAAAGUAUAGUGUCAUUCACUAACAGCUGCUUCUGCAUUUAAUCCAUUAUCAAGCUGUCAACACAAUGUGGUGUAAACAUGUUUAGUGACAUACACAUUUAUUUUAUAACUGAGAAUUCAUGAAAUACAUUUAUGUUUACAACAUGCUUUUACAGCAUGAAUCACACAUCCAGAUAAUUACAAUUUAAUUGUUGCUAAGUAUAGCUUGCGCAGUCAAAUACCAGUUCCCGGUAUUAAGCACGACGGAAAUUAUACAGCCAGUCACGUCUCUAUUACACAGUCUCACUUUUUUACCCAUGAACAGUAUCUUGCAUUCGCAUCAUGUCUACAUGUUAAUGAACCAGUGUUUACACUUACAUUUUGUUGUAAGUUUUCAACACUGACUUAGCGUACUUCUGUAUUGAAAGACUGUUAUCUGCGUUAACCUCUUCCAUCAAAUCCAAGCAACACAACAGUUUUCCUCUCGUCUGAAACACAUGUAUGAUAAAUACAAACAUUCUAUUGAUGGCCAAUAAGAUUUAAACAUACAACUGAAUGUUAUUCAUAACAGGUUUUCAAUAAAUGAACUGACUAAAAUAUGUAUACGUGCCACAGCAUGACGCAGUGUUUGCCUGUACACCAAAGAAUAUAGUUCAACAAAAUAAUACCAAUUAAGUUAAAUGAGCUGGUAAGGUCCAAGCCUAUGAAAUUUGUGUUUUAACAACUUAUUUCCCUUCUAACAGAGGAUAAACAAGUUACAUUUAUUAAUAUAGAUUCUCUAAUUCUACAGAUUUACAAACUAAAUAUUUUGCAAGUAAUAAAAAAAUGCAUACUUUUAUGUAUAACCAUCAAUUAAUCAAACACACUUACUUCCGCAAGUUGCUCAGAAUUUUUCUGUGCUAUUUUGGUCAAGCACUCAUGCACACUGUCAACCUGGUGCAGUAACCAUUGUUCUCGAAGUUGCAUUUGCCGGAUUUGACUUUGAACAACAGAACGAAUGUUUUCUUUUACCUGGAAAAAUUUAUAAAGCUUAUAAAUAAACCGGUGGCAGAAAUAAAAGGCUAUCAUAAUUUGAAAAACUGUUUUAAUUAAGCCUGAGAUAUGAUAUAGUAUCGAAUAAAAAACUAGAAGAUUUACUCUAACAACUAAAUUUAUUACGUUAUAAGCGUUUCUUACACGUUGAAUAUCAGCCUCCAAAUUAUCAGUUGGUUCAUCGUAAUUUGUUUUCAAGCACUUUUUAAUUUCGGCCCUAACAGGAUUCAUACUGACGCUUUAAAGUGAUGUUCAAUCAAAUAAAAGCUUUUCAGUAAAGGACCUUGAAUAAAAUAAUUGUAAACUUGUAAUCCA